CCUACGGGGGGCCGCAGUGAGGAAUAUUGGUCAAUGGACGAGAGUCUGAACCAGCCAAGUAGCGUGAAGGAUGACUGCCCUAUGGGUUGUAAACUUCUUUUAUAUGGGAAUAAAACGUUCCACGUGUGGGAUUUUGUAUGUACCAUAUGAAUAAGGAUCGGCUAACUCCGUGCCAGCAGCCGCGGUAAUACGGAGGAUCCGAGCGUUAUCCGGAUUUAUUGGGUUUAAAGGGAGCGUAGGUGGAUUGUUAAGUCAGUUGUGAAAGUUUGCGGCUCAACCGUAAAAUUGCAGUUGAAACUGGCAGUCUUGAGUACAGUAGAGGUGGGCGGAAUUCGUGGUGUAGCGGUGAAAUGCUUAGAUAUCACGAAGAACUCCGAUUGCGAAGGCAGUUCACUGGACUGCAACUGACACUGAGGCUCGAAAGUGUGGGUAUCAAACAGGAUUAGAUACCCCAGUAGUC
rnacentral:rRNA from 1 species